rnacentral:lncRNA from 1 species
ACCAAGUGUAUUUUAACAUAACUAAAUGUUUAAACUUUAGAUCUUUAUUUUAAACUUUACCAUUAUUUUAAGAAGUUUUUGCUAGGGUAAAUGUUUUCCAUAAGUUUUUUUUUUUUUUUUCUUUUAUAUAUCGGAUAAAGGGAUUACAUUUGUUCUCUGAGUUUUUAUAGAAGCCCCAUCGCUAUCACCAUCACUAUUUUGAUUUUUCCAAGAUGGCCGUUUUUGUUUCGCGAACGUUCUGCGAGGAGAGUUCGGCGACUUGCGUGACUUACGAACAGAACUGCCUAAUUGUACCUACAAUUGAGUAAAUUGUUUUAGAGGAGGGGAUGCCCAGUUUCAGCAGCUUCAAUGUGCGAGGAACACUCCAGCCCCCUCAACAAAGCUGGAGGUGCGGAUAGAGUUGAGAUUUUAACUGACUAAUGAAUGCUGCAUCGGAUGUUAUGCAGUAGUAAGUCAUGACAUUUUUGUAUUUAUGUCGUGCAUCGGCCGUAAAGCGAAACUUACGUUGCGUAGGUUACAUAGGACGUAACUAACUUUUAUUUUGGGUUCUGUUUGUCAUAGCUUUAAUUUUCAUAUUAGGUUACGUCGGACCAAACUUUAUUUUUCAUAUUGGGUACCUUAGAUGUAACUCGAAAUCUUGGGGUAAGGUUACGCUAGACACUGCGUUGAAAGAUGCACUUUUAUUUUUUUGAAAAGUAUUCUUCAACUUACGGCAGUGGCGAAUAGCACUUGUGUUGAUGAGAUGUUUUGAUUCCGCAUGUCCGGAAAGUUGCCGGGGCAGCUGUCGACUAUCUAUAUAGGACGGUAAUGUUGCAGGUACAAAAGUGAAUAAUACACCGUGUUGAAUAUUUAUUUAUUGGUCUUUUUCGGCAGUGCCGCUUGUGCCUGGACAAUGGAAGAUGAUGCCAAGGCCAAAAGAAAGCUACUCUGCAUCUGCACUCUGAAUAAUGUGAUGUCUCGCAAGGUGAUCAUGCAGACGGCGACGCAAUGAAGCGUGGAAAUGGGCACCUAAGAGCUGCACUCUAAACCAGUUUUUCUCUGUUGCCGGUGCACAAGCAGGUAAGGGCGGAUAGCAUUCCUAGUGCCAAUUCCUUUGCGGUCAACGAAAAACGCUUUUUGAACAACGCUCUUUCUGUUUUAAGUAUUGUGCAGGCCUUAAGUUUACUAUAAGAACAACAACAACAAAAAAAAAAUCACUUUCCACUGCAGGUAAUGUGCAUCCAACAUUCCACUGGAUCUGUCCAAAGGGCAGGCUGAUACUGCGGCAGACGCCACUGAGCGGACACACUGCAAAAAGGCGUCGGGCGUUUUCCGAAGUUUGUCAACUGACCUAGAUCUGAGAACGUUGGUACAUGUAUUGCUACCGUUGCCAAGCAGGACUGGAGAUUGUUAGAGUGUGAACAAUGUUCACACUUUGGUCAAUGCAAGCACAUCUUUUUAUUUUAGUAAUAUUGACUAACAAGAUUGCAGCAAUCAAACAAGUUAACACCGAAAUGUUAAAAGCAAUAAAGAAAUUAAAGCCCGGCUGUUCUGCGAGUGCAGAUUUUAUAUCUUGCUUUAUUUUAAGGGCUGCACUGAUUUGUUUGCCCCUUCAUUAAAGGGGCCCUGCAACCAUAUUUAAGCGUCUACCUUUUUUGCGGUUUGCA